rnacentral:rRNA from 1 species
GAUUUCUGACUUGCUGCGCCUGUCCCGCUACGGCAACGUAUGUGAGUGACGGGGUGUACGAGUCAUCCUUCGAUUUCGGUGGUUGAUCCUUUAUUGGGUUAAUUAUCUGGGUCGAUCGUUUACUUUGAAAAAAUUAGAGUGUUUCAAGCAGGCUUAAUGCUGUGAAUACAUUAGCAUGGAAUAAUGAGUUAGGACUUCGGUUCUAUUUUGUUGGUUUCUAGGGCUGAAGUAAUGAUUGAUAGGGAUAGUUGGGGGUGCUAGUAUUCAGUGGCCAGAGGUGAAAUUCUUGGAUUCCCUGAAGACUAACUUAUGCGAAAGCAUU